rnacentral:piRNA from 1 species
AGAUAAAAGUCUGUUAUUUAAGAGGAAGGC